UGCGGUUAUUAUAGCAAAGAGGAUACACCUGUUCCCAUUCCGAACACAGAAGUUAAGCUCUUUAGCGCCGAUGGUACUUGGUGGGAAGCUGCCUGGGAGAGUAGGACGUAGCCGCGU
rnacentral:rRNA from 3 species